rnacentral:rRNA from 14 species
AAGGGUGUACGUGAGGAUGCCUAGGCACCAAGAGCCGACGAAGGACGUGGCUAAGCUGCGAAAUGCCCCGGAGAGACGCAAGCAGUCUUUGACCCGGGGGUGUCCGAGAUUCGGAAACGACGUGAGCUAAACGCUCAUGAGCCGUAUGUGAAUCCAUAGCAUGCGGUAGGGAACGCAGGGAACUGACCCAUCUAAGUACCUGCAGGAAAAGAAAGAGACAUCGAUUCCCCCAGUAGCGGCGAGCGAAAAGGGAUCAGCCCAAACCUUGUAUGUGUAAGCCCGCAGGCGUUGCAUGCAGGGGGUUGUGAGAGCCGGAGCAGUGGUUGCGGACCUGCACGGAGUUACAAAGUUACUCGUUAGAAGAGCUGGCUGGAAAGCCAGGCCACAGAGGGUGAUAGCCCCGUAUUCGAAAGCGAGUAGCCUCCGCCGGAUAUCUCGAGUAGCGCCUGUCCCGUGGAACCAGGCGUGAAUCAGCGCGGCCCACCGCGCAAGGCUAAAUACUCCUUGGUGACCGAUAGUGAAGAGUAGCGCGAGCGAAAGGUGAAAAGAACCCCUGUUAGGGGAGUGAAAUAGAACCUGAAACCGUAUACCUACCAGCGGUCGGAGCCCUAUUCAUGGGGUGACGGCGUGCCUUUUGCAUAAUGACCCGGCGAGUUGGCGUAGGCGGCAAGGUUAAGGAUUAGAAGUCCGAAGCCGAAGCGAAAGCGAGUGCGAAAUGUGCGAUACCAGUCGAGUGCGCCAGACCCGAAAUCAGGUGAUCUAACCAUGGGCAGGUUGAAGCGGAUGUAACAGUUCGUGGAGGACCGAACGGGUAAAUGUUGAAAAAUUUUCCGAUGACCUGUGGUUAGGGGUAAAAGAUCAAUCAAACCUGAAGAUAGCUGGUUCUCCCCGAAAUAGCUUUAGGGCUAGCCUCAGGUGUUUCGCAACGGGGGUAGAGCUACUGUUCAGGCUAGGGGGGUGCAUAACCUACCCUACCCAGACAAACUCCGAAUACCGUUGUUGAUAGCCUGGGAGUCAGACUACGAGGGAUAAGCUUCGUGGUCGAGAGGGAAACAGCCCAGAUUGGCAGUUAAG